CUUGCCUGAACCACAAGGAUCAGCAUGGGAACCUAAAACAACUAAGCUAUAGCAAACUAUUGAUGACAAUCCUCACAUGACUGGUGUUUCACACUCAUAAGAACACAGAGUUUGCUAAAGAAGAUGAACUGAAUAUCAUCAGACAUUGAAAAAGGCAGCAGAGCCUCCACAGGCUAGCACACCUGAUGUGGAAGUGAAUCUGAGAUUACAUGCAAAUCAUUUCAGAAGAUUAUCAAAGUUGAGCUGUGAUGCUUCGUUCUUUGAAUUAAUGAAUAAAGAGUUUGCUAAUUUUGCAGCAUUUUGAGGGGGGAAAAGUAAAGAGAAAGCUUUUCAUGUUGGAUUUCAGUCUCAAAAUUAGACAAAGAAACAUCUCCCUAGCUCAGAUUUAUAGAGAAAAUAACAAGACAAGGAAUAACGUGCUUUAGGAUUCAUGACUAGCACCUGAAAGGUAUGUUGUAAUCUUUGUGAGACUUAAAAGAAAAUAAGAGGCAGAUGCCUUUGAGUUGUAAGGGAAGUUUGUUGGAUGAGUUGGCAUUGAAGCAUCAACCCAUUAGACUUUCCCAUUAGUUACUCAGAGCUUUACCUCAUUACCUAACAC